GACGAACGCUGGCGGCGUGCCUAAUACAUGCAAGUCGAACGCUGAAGAGAGGAGCUUGCUCUUCUUGGAUGAGUUGCGAACGGGUGAGUAACGCGUAGGUAACCUGCCUUGUAGCGGGGGAUAACUAUUGGAAACGAUAGCUAAUACCGCAUAACAAUGGAUGACACAUGUCAUUUAUUUGAAAGGGGCAAUUGCUCCACUACAAGAUGGACCUGCGUUGUAUUAGCUAGUAGGUGAGGUAAUGGCUCACCUAGGCGACGAUACAUAGCCGACCUGGGAGGGGGAUCGGCCACACCGGGACUGGGAAACGGCCCAGACCUCUACGGGAGGGAGCAGUAGGGAAUUUUCGGCAAUGGGGGCAACCCUGACCGAGCAACGCCGCGGGAGUGAAGAAGGUUUUCGGAUCGUAAAGCUCGGUUGUAAGUCAAGAACGGGUGUGAGAGUGGAAAGUUCACACUGUGACGGUAGCUAACCAGAAAGGGACGGCUAACUACGUG
rnacentral:rRNA from 1 species